rnacentral:lncRNA from 1 species
UAAUGAAAACUUAAGUUAAUGACAUUUUCAUUGUACCAUCUAUUUAUACCUUUCUGAUAUGGUUUUAUUGAUAUAUGUUACAAAUAACGUAUUAAUUUGUGCUAACUUUAAACUGACGUUGGAUCAUGACCAAACUCCUACGAGGCAUUCUCGUGCAUAAGGCCUCCGUGAAUGACCUUAGUCAAAGAAUUUGAACCGCCCAGCCCCCCCUCCCCCCCUCUCUCUCUCUCNNNNNNNNNNNNNNNNNNNNNNNNNNNNNNNNNNNNNNNNNNNNNNNNNNNNNNNNNNNNNNNNNNNNNNNNNNNNNNNNNNNNNNNNNNNNNNNNNNNNAGAGAGAGAGAGAGAGAGAGAGAGACACGAGGCCGUGCCCCCCCUAACCAACUUGGUGUGGGACCCGCACCAAACGUUUCAAUCCCAUUUCUCAUAUAAAUGGGGGGAGGCUUCUUCAUCCGCAUCAAAUACGCUUCUCGCAUCCCAGAAGGCGAGGUCCCCCUUCCAUCGUCUCUGGCGCCUGCCGAGGGGAUUCCUCUGGCGCCGUCUCUGACGACGACUGUGUUUUCGUGAAUCUUGAACAGGGUCCCCUCCUCUCUCUCUCUCUCGGCCCCGUUUCAUGGCGGACGAGGAGGAUAUGGACGCCCUACCACUGAGAGACGGCGGCGGGCCCGGCGGCGGCAAUGACAUCUUGAAAUUCGUAUCCAAGUCUUCGUCUGAGACGGUCGAGCUCAUUUCCAACACCAAGAUGAAGCUUCUGAGUGGCACGCUGAGCUUCAUUCUUGAUUCCCCCUCCGCCGGAAUAGCCUGGGGAUGGUGGUGGGUCCUCGCCGUCCACUUGUUCGUCUACGCCAUCGCUCUGCUGGUGAAGACCCUCUCGGUUCUUCUGUCAGCCCCGCGCUUCCCCAGAGGAAGCCAGCUGACGCUCGUGAUCAUAGCCUACCUCGCCCAGCUCGCCGCUGAAGCUUGUCAGGUACUGGCCCUCGUCAUCGCGCUGAAGCUUCUCCCGGCAGGCGUCUCUGCGGGGCUGGCGUCUCUCUUCUCCGCUCGCUGCUAACACGAGACGAUGGGGCCUGAUCUUCACUCCACGAACCCACCCUAUACCGACGGUGUUGCCUGUUUCUAUUUACGCUCCUUCCUUCCACUCUGCGGUGGAAGGAGCUCUUACCCCUCUGCGGACUUGUGAUUACUAUACAUAAAUCUCCGGUGUCUCCGGGCUAAUUAAAAGAUGUGUCUUAUUUCAUGUAAAAAUAAUGUUUUUUGGUGAUCAAAUCUCAUCACAAGUUGACAACGUGAAUUCCUGCCGCCUUUGACGCAGUGAGAUGCGUUGGGCCGGUACAUCUGAUAGAUCCAGAUGAGGAAAUAAAUGAGUGCCACGCGGUUGUCGACCACUCCUGUAUAGUCUUCAAACGCUUCGGAGCUCUGGUCAACGCUAGGAGCCCUGGUAACCAAAAAGCUUAUCUUAAUGUUUGCACCACGGUUUCUUGGGUGCUCAGAUGGUCUAACAGUUGAUGGGUGAUUCAUUUGUGUGUUGCUUACCCGUUACCCACCCUGAGCCCCCCAAAUUGAACGGAAAAUAAUAAGUCACACAAGUCAUCCCUUAUGUCAUCCCUAGAUCACAUAAGUCAAGAGAUUUAUAUAAAUUAUUAUAAUCCAUUCCACCUUCUUCACAUCAUUUAAGGUACCAAUUUACUCUGUUCGUCGCCAAAGCCAUCCACUCGUCGUCGCCAACCGUCGUCACCUUCGCCUCCGCCAUUGUUUGUCGCGCCUAUGCCUCUAAUGGACAGUGACAAUCAACUGUUAACUUUGGGUCAACGGUCAACGAUCACUUCUGUGGUCCAAGUCCUUUCUAGUGACCUCUUUCCACAGCCAAACUCUGGCAUCUUAUGAUUACAUCACCUGAUCUUUUAAUAUAUUUAUCCUGUGAUUGUCCCCAAGUGAUCCUAUUAGUAUGACUACUUUCUCUUUGAGUGAUCAAUUACUAGUGAUUUUACCACAUCUGCUUUGUUAAAUUUGGAGCACCCUACGGCUGACAAUUUGCCUAAAUCACCUGGUCCUUGCCCACUGUCUUGAUGAAGAUAGUUAUUGAGCUGCUUAUGACUUUCAAAUUGUCUCCUUUUUAGAUUCUUCGGAUGUCGCUUAUGCUUUUUACUAUCCUUUAUUAGCUCGUUGUUACAUAUCAUUUAUCAUCCCCAUCAUCGCUCCUCUCAGAAGAAGCUGGUAACAAUAGGGAAUUUAAGUGAGAACAUUGUGUAUGAAUAAGAUUGUCUCAAAAUAGAAAUUGACAUCCAUAGUUCUAGAAGAGCAACCGAGAGAGAGAGAGAGAGCAACCGAUAGAGAGAGGUGGAGAUUGAGAGGGAGAAACUGAGAGAGAGAGAGAGAGAGAGAGAGAGAGAGAGAGAGAGAGAGUAGNNNNNNNNNNNNNNNNNNNNNNNNNNNNNNNNNNNNNNNNNNNNNNNNNNNNNNNNNNNNNNNNNNNNNNNNNNNNNNNNNNNNNNNNNNNNNNNNNNNNAGAGAGAGAGAGAGAGAGAGAGAGAGAGAGGUAGAUACAUAGAAAGAAAGAGAGAGAUAGGUAGAUACAUAGAAAGAAAGAGAGAGAGAAGGCUAGAAUUUUCACAAUAUGUUCAAGAGUUUAACAUUCUCAAUCGUGGUUAGCUUUGCUUUUUCUGAGGUUUGUUCGAGGGACUAAUCUUUGAGGUUAAAAUCGACAGUUCAAAUUAUCCAUAAGAUGCUAAACGCAAAUAAUGUUAUUUUCAAUUUAAUAUUGAACGAGUCCUUCCGUUGCUCUUCUGAUUAAGCAAAAGUAGAUUAAGCGCAGGAAAAUAUUUCCAAAUGUUUGACGCCCUGCUUGUCUAUCGCAUGAAAGAUCAUGUCGGCCCGUCUCCGUCCUUCCCCUCCCUCCCCACCUCCUCCUCUUGAACUCUCAUUUUAGCAAGCUCAACUCAUGUCCCUAUUACAUAAAAUAAUGGGUGGGUAUAUAGAGGACACAGAUAUAUGCGAAUAAUUUUUCACGAUUAUUAAGAAAAAGGAUGCGGGCCUUUGAAUUUUUAGCAGGUCGAUAUCUGUUUGAAGGCGGAGGUUCAAACCUAAUGACGAAUUUACCCAUAGAAUUGCUUUGUCGCAGCGAUUUCUGGAAACGUAGACAUGAUCUUAUAAAAAAAAGUAAAGUCGAAAACGCAUUUUAAUCCAUGGAUUUGCUUCUUUCAUAGUGAGCUUUAGACGAAUAGGCUGAAUUGCUUGAUUUAUUGUGCGCAAUACCAUUCCUACAGAUUUUGUUCAAUGAACAGCUUCGAGGGGGAUCUCGUGGGGCAUAUCCUUUUUUGCAUACCCUUGAAUUGGGGACAUAAGAUAAGGUAGUGUGAGAUAGGCUGCUCCGCGGAUCUGCGACGUGAGGCUUCAGAGACACAAAGAGCAGGACAAUAUGGUCUUUUCUCAGAAGUGUUCAUCCCGUUCAUGGAAAUUCUAUCCAGGCCUGUAAGAAUCUCGGGUUAGGGUUUCUGUAUAAAUACUCGACUCGAGGUCAGCUGGACGAUCCCUCACGGCCGCCGGCCCCCAUUGUCUGCAGUCGUUCCUGCUGUCUGAACGCACGGUGAGGUUCCGAUCUCGAUCGCGAUUCAUCUCGUCACGCCACGAAUUGUUCUUUCGCAUCCCCUCCCCCCACCCCACCCCAUCUUCAGUGCAUUUCAUUUCUGGGUGAUUGUUCUUCCGGGUGGGGGGUUGGAAUUUAAACCCUAAACCGGCCAGCGCCACAGAUGGGCUCGCCGAGGUCUGGCUUCCGCCCCCUUCACAGCAAUGCUCGGGGCGUUUCUAAGCCCCGACGCGACCUUCGGACGGCGUCGGGGUCAUGCGCGCUUCCACAUUAGGUUUCCGGCCAUGGAAGAUCCGCCGAGCUUUCAUUUUCAUACUUUAAAGACUCUCUCUUUCGCCGAUCUUCUGGGUUUUUUGGGCUCGUCUGGGGGAGGAGGGAUACAGAUGAACGGCGGCGCAGUCGGGUACUUCCGCCGAUGGAGCCCCGUGGUUGCGCCGCCGCCGUCACCCCCUCCCCGCCUGACAUUGGCGCAGGUGGCGCGUUGAAGCCCCGACACGAUACACUCCAUCCGCAGUGUCCGGGUCAUUUCCGCCUCCACAUCUCCUUCUUCCUUGCGCGGUUUUCUGGUUCCAUCUGAUCGAGAAGCCCCCCGGUUCUCCCUCCCAAAGUCCUCUUCUUCUUGCGGAUGAGAGAGAGAGAGAGAGAGAGAGAGAGAGAGAGAGGAGGGAGAUUGCGGGUAAUUGGGCCGAGAGCCAGAAAAUACGUAAUUGGGCUUGCACUGACAGUGGUUGGGCCGAGGGCCCGCGGCCACAAGCUGGUCAACCUUUGUACUGCGGCGAGACGACUCUAAAAUCGGCCCAUAUUGGGCUUACUGGGCCGACUCAGGCCUACUGCGUUCUCUGCCCAUUAAAAUCGACACAAGCUUGGCAUACCCGCGGCCCAUUUGUUUCCUUCCUGGGCCAUAACAGUCAUCCUCGCGUCGAAAUGACAAAACAAGCCCAUUAUUCUCUGGGCCGGACCAUAAUAAGCAUUCGAAUACUCUCUCUCUCUCCCUCCCUNNNNNNNNNNNNNNNNNNNNNNNNNNNNNNNNNNNNNNNNNNNNNNNNNNNNNNNNNNNNNNNNNNNNNNNNNNNNNNNNNNNNNNNNNNNNNNNNNNNNCACACGAGAGAGUAGUACAGACGAGCGAGAGAGAGAGAGAGAGAGAGAGAAUUAUUUCUACUUUGGAUGAGAUGCUGGCCCAAGAAUUCAAGGGAUCUCUUUCGUCGUCUGUUGCAGGUGUGGAAACUAUGGAAGGAGGGCCGCUGCUUGGAGCUACUUGACCCCCUGGUGAUGACUUCAUGCCCGGAGACAGAGCUGCUGAGAUGUAUCCAAGUCGGUCUGCUGUGCGUGCAAGAGUCCCCCAGCGACAGGCCAACCAUGUACGCGGUGGUGACGAUGCUGACCGGCGAGAGCUUUCUGCUGCCAGAACCAGAGAGACCCGGCUUCCUGCUUCUUCAGCGUCCCGCAAAAAGUUCGUUCACCACAAAUGAACCCUUCAGCUCCAAUGAAAUAACCCUCACUGUCAUUGAUGGUCGUUGACCAGCUUGGCGCCAACGAGUCUCCCGUUUUCUGGGUGAACACGGGACGGGCUGUUCUAUCAUCUUGAUGCGGUUCGUGAUAAGAAUCCAUCUGCACAACGAGAAAAUCCUCUUUCAGCAGGUACCUGAAUUCAAUCUCCUCCCCAUAGCUGCCGAUUUUGGUGAACAUUGGAUUCAUUAUUUUCCUUUAUCUGUACAGUUUUGUGAAGAACACACCGAAUUUUUUUACUUUAAAAUUAAAGUUCAUUAAAAAAAAUUAAUUAUAAAAGUUUCACAUUUCUAUGACACCUGUCAAUUAACAAUGAAGUGUUGUAAUCUUCUGAUAGGAAAUUUCAACGUCUUGUAAUGUUGGAAAAUAAGUUUUGCUGUAUCCUUUUAUCGGGAAAAAGCCAUCAAACACCCCUGUGGAUUUUUUAUCAGCUUCACAAAUAUGUUUAUUACUAAUUUUAACAUUAUCGUGGAGAACAAUCCAUCCAAUCAUUGUUAACAAGCCUAUGAUGAUGCCUUAUAAUUUUACGUUUUAUAUCCUAAGGAAAUUUUAAGCUCAAGCAUAAUUUUCUGAUGUUAGCCACUGCAUGGCAAAGAGCCAACCUUGAGGUGAGCCAUAUGUAAAAUACAGGAUAAUUAGAACAAUAGAUGAAAAAAAUUCUUACACUCCUCUUGAACUGUAUGACCCCCUGCACUUUGUCGUUUCUUAGUGAAAUAUCGUUUUAGAAGGGGUUGUUCUACAAGACUAGGAAAUAUUUAGUGCACACUCAACUUGUAGCAUGAUUUUUUGAAUAGUUUAAAAUAUUAUUUGAAAAGGAUUUUGCAUUAUCAUAAGUAACCAAAGCUAUGAUUCUACAUAUUGAGCUUGUAGUUUCAAAAGUCUAUGACAUUCAUGAUUUGUUUAAAAUGAUUUAAAAGGUUUUGAUUAAGAAAUUAUUUUAUUAUUUUAAUAAUUAUUAUAAUUUUGUUUCAAUGAUAAUGUGUUAUUAUUAGACUUCAGCGAACAAGUUUAAAAGACCUUAUUUGAAUAAUAUUUUUAAAUUUUUGAAAUGGGCCUACAUGAUUGCGUAUAUUUUAGACCUACCCCCAGACUUGAGUAUUAACUUGACUUUUAAUAUUACAGAAGUAGUGACUUAUCAUAGAUCACACAAUGUACUUAGCAAGACUUUUUAACCUUCCCUAUACCUUUGAGUGAUACCCCAACCAAUGUAUUCACUAGCCACAUUUCUUAUCCGAUAUGAACAAGUUCAGGAUGUAUUAGAUGGGCAGGUGAUUUCUGCUAACAAAGAGUGUCAGAGACUUUUGGUUCAUGGCACGAUUAUCCACCAUCAGAUGACUCUUGAGUCAUAGGCUAUGAUCUUUGUCAACCUGAUCCUGGCACAUAGGAGCAUUACACCACUGACUCAUCCCUUUACUCGAUAGAGUCAAGCCCCCUAACCCGUGGAGAGUUGACGUAGGACAAGGCCCUGUCCAAACAUGGUGGACUGAACAUUGGCCCAGAACCCCUUUGCCCUCCUUAUUGGAACCCUUUCCCUUCCAUCCUUGUUUCCCUGCCUGUGUGAGGUGCAAACCUCAGCUGUUUUGAGGUAGUGAAUUUUUGAAUCAAGAAAUUUGCGAACCAGGGCCUGUGUGGCCUGCGUGUGUGGUUUGCCUAUGUGGCUUGNNNNNNNNNNNNNNNNNNNNNNNNNNNNNNNNNNNNNNNNNNNNNNNNNNNNNNNNNNNNNNNNNNNNNNNNNNNNNNNNNNNNNNNNNNNNNNNNNNNNAGAGAGAGAGAGAGAGAGAGAGAGAGAGAGAGAGAGAGAGAGAGAGAGAGAGAGAGAGAGAGAGGGAGAGAGCGCGCGAGAGAGAGAGAAAGAGAGUGAGAGAGGAAGAGAGAGAAACGGACUACCGAUGUAAUGGUCCAGUGGACCAUGGGAGCACAAUUGUGGACCAAGACCAGGGAACUGAGUAUAGACUGCGUCAACAAAAAACCCAAUUAAAACGUGUCACAACAAGGUGGGAAAAUUUUAAAAAGGUUAGAAGAAGCUGGGUUGUUUAUUGGGCACUUAUGGGCUUCCUAAUCUGAUAGGGACUAUUGGGCCAAUCCACCAUUUUUAGGAACAUUUAGGCCCAAAUGGGUAAAAUAGGGACAACUGCCAUAGGCCAAAUGUAUGCAGAGCUUCUAUUUGCACGGUCCGUUUAAAGCACCCAUUAGUUCUUUCUGUUAAAAAGAUUCAGCAUUAGAUAUGCCCAGAAAAAUCUAUGGCCACAGAAAGGGUGCCUACUACCUUCCUCAUAACUUAUUGAUGUUAUCUGUAUUCAAAGACUGAACAGUAAGAUCAUAUGCCGAACUUGUUGAGAGUAUGUCACCGUGUAUGAAUUAAUAGAAAUAUAUGUCAGCCCUUGUUCAUGAAAACAAAUCUACUUUGGUGAUAUUUACUUAAUUUUUCCAGGUGGGAUGAAACUCAUUCGUAAGCCCAACCUUCUUUUUCAAAAUAUAGUCACCAGUAGUAAGUAUGCUGGUAAAAAUCUUGUCAUCAAUCAAGUGACUUUUAAGUGCAAUCAUAGGAAAAAAAAUGAGGGCAACAGAUUCUAACGGCAAUUGCUUGGAGACAUACAACUGAAAAAAAUUCAGAUUUCGAAAAACCUAACAUUUUUGCCAUGGCUAAGAUCAAGCUACUCUUAAUUCUAUCAAGCAUCAUAUCAUCAUGAUAGCCUAUUUAGACUUAUUUUUAAAUAACAUAUUCAUUAUAUUUAUCAAAAGAAGACUUUGUGGGAGUUCUCAAACUGCCAGUUUUCUUACAGAAAAAAUCACCAUGUCAAAUGUCAUAAUGCUACUUGGAGGUGAAACAAUGGUGUAUGGAGUGGUAUAAAUUGUUUGAGUCUAAUUGGUAGAGUUUUGUCUGCUAAUUUCUAGAUUCAACUAAAGCAACGGACUAAAACACAUUUAUUUUGAUAAUACAUGCGCACAUGGACACCAAGAAAUCGUGAAAAUAUCUACUUCUGAGUAGUAAUUACCUUCCUCCUUGGAGAGAGAAAAUUACGGCGUAAAAAGAAACCUUCUCCCUAGGAGAGAGAAAACUAUGAUGCAAGCAAGAAAAUAUCAUUAUAAAUAGAUGGUAGUUGAACCGUUUUGUCUCUUGCACUGCCAUGAACUGGAGAUAUCUAGAAUAAAAUAAACCUAGACCCCUAGUAUUGUGUGGUCUAAAACCCUCCACUUAUCCCAAGAUUUAGGCACGUACGCACCGAUUCUGCUCACUCCCUUCUUUUGACUGAUGAUUUCUCCGCCUCCAGGUGUGGUGGAGAUGACUGUAGUACCCAUGAUAUUUCCUCAGAGUGGUUCUCCAUCAUGAAAAGAACCCGACGUGUUACCUGUCCUUAGCAGCUGGUUCGGUUUCACUCGUCGAGUCUAACAUUUGACUUCGUCUAACGUGACUCGUCGUGUCGAACAUUUGACUUCGUUUAACGCGACUCGUCGUGUCUGACGUGUCUUACGCGUGACAAUAGAUGGGCUACGAGUCCGCUUUGACAGGCUAACAACCCUGUGCUGGCCACGUGUAAAUAUCUUUUAUUAUUCCCGUCCACCGAUGACUGGGUCUCAUUUCAAGGUCACACUGGGAACUAAUUUUUUUUUGUCGCCAAAUGAUCCGGUCCCUCUCCACCUUUGAAAUUAUUAAUUUCCUCUCCAGCAGAACCCCUCGUCGUAAAUAAAUUUAUGUAGAACUCAUCAAUCAUUUCCCACCCUUAAAUUGAUUUCUAGGUAAAUUACGUCAAGGACUUCCCUGUCAUUGGUCAACUCCACCCCCCAUCGGCGUAUACUUUCUGUUAUAUAAGCAUAACCGAUGCUUCAAAGAGAAGNNNNNNNNNNNNNNNNNNNNNNNNNNNNNNNNNNNNNNNNNNNNNNNNNNNNNNNNNNNNNNNNNNNNNNNNNNNNNNNNNNNNNNNNNNNNNNNNNNNNGGAGGAGGGACGGAGAGAGAGGCGAGAGAGAGAGAGAGAGAGAGAGAGAGAGACGCAUAGAGAGUUUGUUUGCGUGACUGGGGGAGGUUCUGUGACAGCACGUUCGGGAACUUGGGUUGCACCACGGAGUGGCUGGAAGUGGUCUUCAACAUCAUCAUCAUAACCAGCGGGCUGAUCCUCGUCACCAUGUUGAUCGGGAACAUCAAGGUGAACCAACACGAAGCUCGAUCAACUAUCAAGUUUGCGAGUAUCGGUCGUCUUCUUCAUCAUCAGUGGGGGAGGUUGUGGGGCAGGUGUUCUUGAGCGGGACGAGCUCGAAGAAGCAGGCGAUGCAGCUGCAGCUGAGGAACACAGAGUGGUGGAUGCGGCGGCGCCGCCUGCCGGAGAGCUUCCGACGGCGGGUCCGGCAGUACGAGCGGCGGCGGUGGGCGGCGAUGCGAGGGGUUGACGAGUACGAAAUGAUCCGGGACCUCCCCGAGGGACUCCGCCGGGACAUCAAGUACCACCUCUGCCUCGAUCUCGUCCGCCAGGUAACAAGAACACAAUGAACUUGCCUCCUCGAGAAUCAUCCCCCAUCCCCAUUUUCAAAUUAGGAGAAAAAUAUCAUUCCGACCUCCAACUUUCCUCCAGGUGCCCUUGUUUCAACACAUGGAUGCUGUCGUCUUGGAGAACAUCUGCGACCGGGUGAGGUCGCUCGUCUUCACCAAGGGGGAGACUGUAAGCACCCUCUCCCUCUCCUCAUCCUUCUCUCUCUCUCUCUCGCUCGCUCUCCUCCCCUCUCUCGCUAUCUCUAUGAUGAAUAUCUUCUCCAUUUUGAUGAAGAUAACGAGAGAAGGGGAGCCGGUGAAGAGGAUGCUGUUCGUGGUGAGGGGGCACCUGCACAGCAGCCAGGUGCUGCGGGACGGCGUGAAGAGCAGCUGCAUGCUGGGGCCCGGAAACUUCACGGGGGACGAGCUCCUCUCAUGGUGCCUCCGCCGCCCCUUCGUGGAGCGGCUGCCGCUCUCCUCCUCCACGCUGUUGACUAUCGAGACCACCGAAGUCUUCGCCCUGGAGGCGGCUGACGUCAUGUACGUGACGCAACACUUCCGACACACCUUCGUCAACGAUAAGGUGCGGCGGAGCGCCCGCUACUACUCCCCCGGGUGGCGGACCUGGGCGGCGGUGGCGAUCCAGCUGGCCUGGCGCCGCCACCGCCACCGCCUCACGCUGUCCUCCCUCUCCUUCAUCCGCCCUCGCCGGCCGCUCUCCCGCAGCGCCUCCAUGGGGGAGGACAAGCUCAGGCUGUACACCGCCAUUCUCACCUCCCCCAAGCCCCUCCUCGACGACUUCUCUCUGUAAAUUGCCUGUAGAGAGAGGAGAGAGAGAGGAGAGAGAGAGAUGAAUUCCAUGUACGUAUAAAGUAGACGUUGCUUUCCCGUGCUUAUUUUGGUCAUCCCAAUGCGGGCUGCUCUACUGAGCACAACACGCCCUCACAGAACAACUGGAAGGAAGCCCGGAGAGCUAUAUGGGAAAACGCGACCAUAUCUGGGCCGAAUGCUAAGGCCCGGAAGGCCCAAUAAAGCCCAUAAAAGUCCACCGGUUGACCGGCCGUUGGGCCCGCGGAAGAAACGGCGGAUCUAAGAGAUCAACCGCAGUAAAAGAGUAAUCAAAACAAAACGAGCGGCGUCGACACGUGGAGGGCUCCCACCCCACGUGGUGGACCAACCGUCGAAUCUUAUCAUUGGGUUAUUUGCUUUUAUUCUCCCCACAAAUUAGUUAAAAAUUACCGGGAAGCACUUUUUGUCUCAGAAUUCGACCGCUAGGGCUCCAAAAAACUCGUCUUUCUAUUAGUUUUUCUUCCCUCUUCCUGAUUAAAUAUACUUAACAUCUAAACUUGGGUUAGAAAAGUUUCUCCGCACUUAGUUUUUUUACUGUCGAGGAACAAUAGUUGCUGUCCAUCUUCGGCCUGAGUGAGAGAGAGGGGGGGGGUGGUAGGAGGAAGAGAGAGAGAGAGGAGGGAGAGGGAGAGGAGGAGAGAGAGAGAGGAGGAGGGAGGGAGGAGGAGGAGGAGGAGGAGGGAGGAGAGAGAGNNNNNNNNNNNNNNNNNNNNNNNNNNNNNNNNNNNNNNNNNNNNNNNNNNNNNNNNNNNNNNNNNNNNNNNNNNNNNNNNNNNNNNNNNNNNNNNNNNNNAGAGAGAGAGAGAGAGAGAGAGAGAGAGAGAGAGAGAGAGAGAGGGACCGGGUGGGGUGAUAAGGUGACACAUGCUUUCUGAUUAGAUAAUUAGGUAGUGGGAGACAGGGAAGACACAGAGGAGAGCUUUCAGAGGAGACUGUGAGAGGAUGAUUAUAUUUCCUACAGACUUACCGCAGGCAUGGAGUGAAAUGACCCACAGAAUGGAAACAACAGCUUCUUUUAUGCACAUUUGUGUUUAUCCAUGCUACUCGUAGACAGGCGUAGAUGGGCGGCCGGGGAGAGCAAAUAAAAGAGACAAGACCCCAAUUAGACGUUGAUGAGAUUAGUCAGAUUCACCUUUACUAUCACCAUAGAUGUUACUGACUGAUGAAGAACCGUAGAGACGGAGAAAGAGAGAAAGAGCGAGUACAGACAAAAGAGAACCAGAUCAGAGCUUAGGAAGAGUUAACUUUACAGACCGUAUAGCCAUUGUAAUUAUUCUCGUUACUGGUAACCAGGCAUAUAUACAUAUAUAUAUAUAUAUAUGUAGAGAGAGAGAGAGAGAGAGAGAAGAAGAAGAAGAAGAAGACAGAAGAUAAAGGAGGCAAGAGUCAGUCAGAUUAGAGGUCUCAAGGGAGACAUUCAGGUUCACGUACGCCUUAGCAAGGAUGCUCCAUUCUUUGUUUAAUCUUAAUCCACGCAAACUUUGUUGAAAAUGUUGAAUAAGCCCGAUUAUUAAAAAGUAAUCAUAGAAAGCGCAUCCGUUCUGCAUAAGAACAAAGACUCUCUCUCUCUCUCUCUCUCUCUCUCUCUCUCUCUCUCUCUCUCUCUCUAUCCCUCCACUUAACUAGUUUACCUCCAUGAAUAGGACUCCACCUUGUACUUCUCCUGUGGGAUGGCGCCGUGUCAUCCUGUCCUCUUUUCCAUAGACAAGAAGUAAAGCUCUGGGAACUAGGCGUAUUUUUUUCGAAUUCUUCCCUCGUUUCAGCAGCCGUCGUCUUUAUUCAAUGUAAACCGGAGUAACGUGUUUCAUGCUGCCUAUAGUUCUCAUACUAGCGAAAAAAAUUUCUUAAGCCCUGGGCUUCGCCUUGCUACAGCUGUUUCCAAUAGCGAGGGAUCAUGGUGGUAUAAAAGGGACUCUCGUGGGUCUGUUUUGUCGGAUUUGGGAUUAACUAUGGAGGGAUGACGACCGUGGAUUGGGAUUAGGUGGUUCUAUCCAUGUGAACGAGCAAGCGCAUGAUGGGCGCUGCGACUCCUAAGUUCAUACUGGAAUCAGCUAAAGUGGCUUUUAUUCUAUCAGCAAAAGGCAUUGGAUGGGCCUUUCUAGAAACAAGAGAGCUUAUAACUUACAUUAACUUGUUUCCGACUUUAUGCAUGACUCUCUCUCUCUCUCUCUCUCUCUCUCUCUCUCUCUCUCUCUCUCCCUCCCUCCCUCCCUCCCCCCAAAUGUGUGUGUACAUGUGCAUGUAAGCUGAAGAUAUUUCCGUCUAUAGUUUGGGUGGAAAUCUUCUUACAAACUUACCCACCAUAAAAAAGGGACGACGAGCUCCCGUUGCCAACAAUGAAGCACUGCCCAUAAUUGGGUACAAGGUAGGGAAGAGGGAGGAGAGAGAGAGAGAGAGAGAGAUGUUGUCUUCUACUUUUCGCUAGACUGGGGGCUUACAGGAGACCAAGCGAGCAGGGUAACCUCAAAGCUGAGCCCACGAGAUUAGUAAUCAUUAAUCCAGGGAAGCGAGGCAGAAUAGUGAAGCCCAGGAGUCUUGGUUCCCACGGAAGACUGCUCUCGUUCAGAGGGGAGAGAAGGGAAGUGGAUCGGUUGACGACACAUGGGGCUUAGAGCGCAUACUCCCCGCAAGGGAACCGGCGGGUUAAAAGCUAGGCACUUUGACUGGCAUCGGCCCUGACGAGUCCCGUUAGAACCCCCCACCACCACCACCACCACCCCCCACCACCACCGCGGAAGGAUUCCUUGCUUCUUAGACCCGAACACUCUUCCCUGUUCUCCUCCUCUGAUUUUCGUCCCCUAUCUUUACAGCUGUUUCUCCCUCUACCCCUCUAUACUUGCCCGAGAGUUCUCUCUCUCUCUCUNNNNNNNNNNNNNNNNNNNNNNNNNNNNNNNNNNNNNNNNNNNNNNNNNNNNNNNNNNNNNNNNNNNNNNNNNNNNNNNNNNNNNNNNNNNNNNNNNNNNUCCUCCUCCUCUCUCUCUCUCUCUCUCUCUCUCUCUCUCUCUCGCUUAUUUCUCUGAGUCGGGAGGCCCAACCAUCCUAUCGACAAAAACUCUGUCCACUGACAAGGAAACCCGCUACAAAUUUAUAUCCUUCUUCCCUCCUCUCCAUUCCUGACUCCUCUCGUAGCUCUCCGUAGGGACACCCUAGCAUACUAUCGAAGAAAACUCGGUCCAGGAGAUCCGCUGAAAUUGAUAUCGUUUCCCUACCUUCAUUCUAUCCUCCCCGCCCUUCUCUUUCUGUUUUUUAUUUUAUACUCUCUCUUUUUAUGUGUGCAUGCAUCUAUAUCUCUAUCUGGAUUCGUAUAUAUAUUUAUCUCUAACAAGACUCUUCUCCAACUUAGUGGUUAAACAAAAGAGGCUUAACCUAUGAUCAGAGGCCCUCGUUUUUUCCUGAACCCAAUGGAUCUGCUUUCACCUCUUUUGUUUCAGUUCUACCGUUCAAACCUGUUCGUUCCUUCCACUCUCUUCCCCUUUGGAGCUCAUUCAACUCGAGAAGAAGAGAGAGAAGCCCAAUAAUGCCCACCUCCAGAGUCCGACUCUUAUUUUUCCCGUAUCCAUAACCCAUCUUUUUCUCUCCCUACGGCGGCAAGUCCCUGUUUCCUUGUUCUGACAUAAAGGCACUCGCACUCAUUCCAUUUCAGAAAAAAGAGACACCCCGAUACUGUUUACUACGAGCUCUUUCUUCCAUCCGUAGACCGGCGAUGUUGCUAGAUCUUGAAGGCUUUCUACCUUUUACACAUCAAGGUUGAUUAUGUUGAUAAGUACGUCAUCUAGGUGGUUUUCCUCUACAGGCCUCUCUCUCUCUCUCUCUCUCUCUCACACACACACACACACACACACACACGCACACACACACACACAAUUUCUUCGUCUCUAACUCUACAUCUCUGCGACAGGAGAGUGGAGGGUGAACCAGCGUCCAGCGUGAAAAGAAGCGGUCAGAAGGGGCGAGGAGACGAGGAAGAUGCUUGUGAGAUGUUGAAAACAUAGCAGUGGUCUAUUUCCAAGGAUCACUUGACGACUGAAACGGUGCCUUACAGACCUUGACAGCUUUCAUAUCUUUCCCUCCUGACAACUACAGGACGGGGAAAGGCCAUCAAUCAUACGCUUGACCCACCUUGACCAGCCCCUUCACCUGCGACGACCGACGUCGGAGUAGCAGUGGCGCCCAAUUCUCGAAUAUGAUUCACCACCUUAAAAAUAGAGGGCAAUGAGAGCUCGCUAUAUACCAUUUAGAGAGAGCGAGCGAAGGAGCUAGAGAGAGAGAGGAAUGAUCAGCUACUUUGAAAUAUGAGUCACCUGGACGUAGUUACGUCCAACAAUAACACGGUGUAACAGAGGUUUAGAAUGGGGAUGCCCCUAUCACCUGAAGAAAGCUAGAACUAAGAGAGGAGAUAGAGACAGACAGAAAGCUCUGGUUAUGAUAAAUAGUCUGUACACCAUUUCGAGCAAGAGAUGGAGGGAGAGGAGAAUAGUUCACUGCUCUUAAACAUGAUUCACCGUAGGCGCUGUUUUCUGUUGCCAUAUUACGGCAUUUCCAUGGGGUUAGAACGGCUCUCCUUCAAGCUGCAUGUUAGUACUGAGAGAGAGAGAGAGAGAGAGAGAGAGAGAGCUCUGGCUAUGAUGACGAUAGACGUAGGAAUAUAGUUCUGUUUCCCCUCCUUUCUUCUUGUCUUCUUCCUGGGUGAGUUUCUUAGACACGGAACGCUGGGUUUCUGUCGGAAGGGUGCAGAGAGAGAAGAGAUAUGUGCAUGAGUGUACGAACCCGCAGACAGGUGGGGCGACAUGUGUUUUGCGGGCCGCAGUAUCCGGUACAGAGACGACGGCAGAACAGCGACGCUUGGCCACGGCCAUCUCCGGUCUACCUUGUUGCCAGUUUGGUCUCUCUCUUCCUCUCUAUAUCUCCAUCUCCUCCACCUCAUCUAUAAGACCAUUCCACAGCCUCCACAUUGUCAUUAUGUGAUAAUCUGCGGACCAAGAUCCAGAUAGCGUGCUCUCGCUCUCUCUCUCUCUCUCUCUCUCUCUCUCUCUCNNNNNNNNNNNNNNNNNNNNNNNNNNNNNNNNNNNNNNNNNNNNNNNNNNNNNNNNNNNNNNNNNNNNNNNNNNNNNNNNNNNNNNNNNNNNNNNNNNNNAAAAAAUAAAAUGAUUUUGCAUUAUCCCAAUUGAAAUUGAAGUAAUGAACCUCCCCAUAUUCUAUAUGGGAGGUUCAUUACUUCAACUAGUCCCCGUGUUCCUCGAAUGGGUCUCUUAGUUGUUGAGAGGGUUGCCCAAAGGCAGUAUAUAAGGCGUACCCAGUAAAGCUUACAAGUAAACCAGAUAUGGAGAUGGCGACUAAGGUUGCUGUUUCCAUUAUUAGAUUUAAAAAUCGCGAUGGAUCUACAAUAAGGUUGUUUAUUUACAACUACAACGGAAUGGUAUACAAAGUCAACAGAUCUCAACCAAUGAAAUUGUAUUUAUGGCUACACAAACUGUUGAGGGUAGUUCUAGAUCUGGGCCAAGACGAACUCGUGUAGGGGAUUUAUUGAAACCAUUAAAUUCAGAAUAUGGUAAAGUAGCUCCGGGCUGGGGGACUACUCCCCUUAUGGGAGUCGCAAUGGCUCUAUUUGCGGUAUUCCUAUCUAUAAUUUUGGAGAUUUAUAAUUCUUCCGUUUUAUUGGAUGGAAUUUUAGUGAGUUAGGUUCAUAAGAGCAAUGAAGUGCUAGUCAAAAAACUUAGGACUCGCCUUGCUAGUCUAUUUGAGUUGGUAGUUCGACCGUGAAAUUUCUUUGUUUCGGUAUUUGCGGAAUAUGAGUGUGUGACUUGUUAUAAUUGAUCCUAUUGAUAUACAGAAAAUGGAUCUGUCAUCUUGAUAAAGAUGAUUCUACCUCGUCGGAUAUUUAUAUUUAUUCUAGUUUCCGGAGCACGGAAUAUAUUUAAUAGAUCAAGAAAAGAAAUAUUUGAACUAUGAUUCAUACCCUACUAUUCAAACCUCGUAACCGGACUCUAAAAAAAUUUCAAAAGGCUAUUCUAUUUCCUAAAUCAAACCAUUUUUCUUCUUUGAGAACUAUGUGUUUUGACGGAAGUACAACUAUUUCUCUGGAUUUUGUUGAGUCAUUACAUCUUUUUCAUUAAAUAAAUGAUGAUCAAAUGGUUCUUACUCAGAGAACUUUUGAGCUUUGUUUUUGAACUUAUUGAUAAAUCAUCGUGGUUCUAGUAUGAAUCUGAGGUUUCAAUUGAUUUAUAGGGUCUCAACAAGAGAAUCCCUAUUCAGAAGUAAAACAAUAGUCAAUUUUUUGAUUACGCAAAAAACUCAAAUUAAAAUACUAAAUAGGGAAAAAGAAGAUUCAAGAGGCCUGUAAUAAUCAAUAUAAAAAAGAAAGACGGAUGAGCUAACUUGAUAUUUUUUGGCAUUAUCAUCACAAAGAACAGAUUACGGAUUUUUAUUUUUUGGGGGUAGAUUGAAUCUAUUGGCUAAGAAGUUUAAAUUUUCGAUUACAUAUCCGUUAAAAGAGUAUUUGUAUGUUUUUGCUUGAGCCGUAUGAGAUGAAAUUCUCAUAUACGGUUCUCAGUAGGGGGAGUUACCUUGGUUUACCUAUCUCAAUAAAGUCUAUGACUGGUUCGAAGAGCGUCUCGAGAUUCAGGCGAUUGCAGAUGAUAUAACUAGUAAAUAUGUUCCUCCUCACGUCAACAUAUUUUAUUGUCUAGGGGGGAUCACACUUACUUGUUUUUUAGUACAAGUAGCUACGGGUUUUGCUAUGACUUUUUACUAUCGACCAACUGUUACAGAGGCCUUUGCCUCUGUUCAAUACAUAAUGACUGAGGCGAACUUUGGUUGGUUAAUCCGAUCAGUUCAUCGAUGGUCAGCAAGUAUGAUGGUUCUAAUGAUGAUUUUACACGUAUUUCGUGUGUAUCUGACAGGCGGAUUUAAAAAACCUCGCGAAUUAACUUGGGUUACCGGUGUAGUUCUGGGUGUAUUGACUGCAUCUUUCGGUGUAACUGGUUAUUCCUUACCUUGGGACCAAAUUGGUUAUUGGGCAGUUAAAAUUGUGACAGGCGUACCUGAUGCCAUUCCGGUAAUAGGAUCACCCUUAGUAGAGUUAUUACGAGGAACUGCUAGUGUGGGUCAAUCCACUUUGACUCGUUUUUAUAGUUUACACACUUUUGUAUUACCUCUCCUUACUGCCGUAUUUAUGUUAAUGCACUUCUUAAUCAUACGUAAGCAA